rnacentral:rRNA from 1 species
UUCCGUUUGAUCCUGCCAGAGGUUACUGCUAUCGAGGUUCGACUAAGCCAUGCGAGUCGAAUGUAGCAAUACAUGGCGUACUGCUCAGUAACACGUGGACAACCUACCCUUAGGUCGGGGAUAAACCCGGGAAACUGGGUAUAAUACCCGAUAGUCCUCGGAUGCUGGAAUGCACCGAGGUCUAAAGCUCCGGCGCCUAAGGAUGGGUCUGCGGCCUAUCAGGUAGUAGUGGGUGUAGCGUACCUACUAGCCUACGACGGGUACGGGUUGUGAGAGCAAGAGCCCGGAGAUGGAUUCUGAGACACGAAUCCAGGCCCUACGGGGUGCAGCAGGCGCGAAAACUUUACAAUGCUGGAAACAGCGAUAAGGGGACCUCGAGUGCCAGGUUACAAACCUGGCUGUCGUGAUGCCUAAAAAGCAUUGCAUAGCAAGGGCCGGGCAAGACCGGUGCCAGCCGCCGCGGUAACACCGGCGGCUCGAGUGGUAACCGCUAUUAUUGGGUCUAAAGGGUCUGUAGCUGGCCGGAUAAGUCUUUUGGGAAAUCUGGCAGCUUAACUGUCAGGCUUUCAGGAGAUACUGUCUGGCUCGAGGCCGGGAGAGGUGAGAGGUACUUCAGGGGUAGGGGUGAAAUCUUGUAAUCUGAAGGACCACC